UGUUGGCCAUGCACCACUAGCCCGGCCGUGCUCGUUUUUGCAGCGGCAACCGCAUCUUCUUCCAAGAAAGCAAAGUGAGGAGAAGGAGAAGCAAGUGAAGGAAGUGGAAACGAUAGCGUAGUCUACAGCUGCGGAACGGAGCCAGACAAAACCAGCCCAAGAGUUAUUUACAUACGCUUCGCAUUUGACAAGUUGUACGAACCAGAUCCGCAUGUAAGUGUCUGGUUAUCUUCAAUCCCUCUUUUAAAUA